GAUGAACGCUGGCGGCGUGCUUAACACAUGCAAGUCGAACGGAAAGGCUCCUGCUUGCAGGGGUACUCGAGUGGCGAACGGGUGAGUAACACGUGGGUGAUCUGCCCUGCACUUCGGGAUAAGCCUGGGAAACUGGGUCUAAUACCGGAUAGGACGAUGGUUUGGAUGCCAUUGUGGAAAGUUUUUCGGUGUGGGAUGAGCUGGCGGCCUAUCAGCUUGUUGUUGGGGUAAUGGCCUACCAAGGCGUCGACGGGUAGCCGGCCUGAGAGGGUGUACGGCCACAUUGGGACUGAGAGAGGGCCCAGACUGCUACGGGAGGCAGCAGUGGGGAAUAUUGCACAAUGGGCGCAAGCCUGAUGCAGCGACGCUGGGUGGGGGAUGACGGCCUUCGGGUUGUAAACUCCUUUCGCAAGGGACGAAGCGCAAGUGACGGUACCUGGAGAAGAAGCACCGGCUAACUACGUG
rnacentral:rRNA from 1 species